rnacentral:rRNA from 1 species
UACGUAGGGUGCGAGCGUUAAUCGGAAUUACUGGGCGUAAAGCGUGCGCAGGCGGCUUCGCAAGUCAGGCGUGAAAUCCCCGGGCUUAACCUGGGAAUGGCGUCUGAAACUACGGAGCUGGAGUGUGGCAGAGGGAGGUAGAAUUCCACGUGUAGCGGUGAAAUGCGUAGAUAUGUGGAGGAACACCGGUGGCGAAGGCGGCAUCCUGGACCGGUAUUGACGCUGAGGCGCGAAAGCCAGGGGAGCAAACGGG